UACGUAGGGGGCAAGCGUUGUUCGGAUUUACUGGGCGUAAAGGGCGCGUAGGCGGUCAGCACAAGUCAGUUGUGAAAUCUCCGGGCUUAACUCGGAAAGGUCAACUGAUACUGUGCGACUAGAGUGCGGAAGGGGCAACUGGAAUUCUCGGUGUAGCGGUGAAAUGCGUAGAUAUCGAGAGGAACGCCUGCGGCGAAGGCGGGUUGCUGGGCCGACACUGACGCUGAUGCGCGAAAGCCAGGGGAGCGAACGGG
rnacentral:rRNA from 1 species